GAUGAACGCUGGCGGCGUGCCUAAUACAUGCAAGUCGAGCGAACAGACGAGGAGCUUGCUCCUCUGACGUUAGCGGCGGACGGGUGAGUAACACGUGGAUAACCUACCUAUAAGACUGGGAUAACUUCGGGAAACCGGCGCUAAUACCGGAUAAUAUAUUGAACCGCAUGGUUCAAUAGUGAAAGACGGUUUUGCUGUCACUUAUAGAUGGAUCCGCGCCGCAUUAGCUAGUUGGUAAGGUAACGGCUUACCAAGGCAACGAUGCGUAGCCGACCUGAGAGGGUGAUCGGCCACAUUGGAACGGAGACACGGUCCAGACUCCUACGGGAGGCAGCAGUAGGGAAUCUUCCGCAAUGGGCGAAAGCCUGACGGAGCAACGCCGCGUGAGUGAUGAAGGUCUUCGGAUCGUAAAACUCUGUUAUUAGGGAAGAACAAAUGUGUAAGUAACUAUGCACGUCUUGACGGUACCUAAUCAGAAAGCCACGGCUAACUACGUG
rnacentral:rRNA from 1 species